UUUUCAUCUUCUUAUUCAGUGAUUAACAUUUAGCUCAGAGGGACCCCAAUAAUUCUUAGCUUUAAUAUUCAAUUGACAACAACACUUCUGAUUGUUUUCUUUACUUGAUUAUGAUAUAUGAACCUAGGGUCGCGCUCAGGAGAGAAUGAAUCCUUAAAAUAGAACCUUAGAACCACUAAGGUUUUGCUGCAAAACCCUAAAUUUUAAAUAGAUUUUCAGGAUCUAAAUCUAAAUACAUGUUUUUUGCAUCGUUGUUUGUGUUCAAAAUAAUUUUACAUGUUUUUUGCAUCAUUGUAUGCGUUCAAAAAUAAUUUCAAAAUAUAUUAUAUAAAUACGACAUUUUUUGCAUGUGCAGUUCUGCUGCAGAACCCUAAUUAAUACUAGAAAUAAUGCUAAGGGCUCUAAGUGGAACAUGACCCUAUGAACCUAAUUUAAGAUCAGAUAUGAUGGUGAAUGCUAGAAAAAUAUAUAAAAAAAUUUCUGUAUACUUAUUUAAGAAGUUUGCC
rnacentral:lncRNA from 1 species